rnacentral:rRNA from 1 species
AUUGAACGCUGGCGGCAUGCUUUACACAUGCAAGUCGAACGGUAACAGGCCGCAAGGUGCUGACGAGUGGCGAACGGGUGAGUAAUGCAUCGGAACGUGCCCAGUCGUGGGGGAUAACGCAGCGAAAGCUGCGCUAAUACCGCAUACGAUCUAUGGAUGAAAGCGGGGGACCGUAAGGCCUCGCGCGAUUGGAGCGGCCGAUGGCAGAUUAGGUAGUUGGUGGGAUAUAAGCUUACCAAGCCGACGAUCUGUAGCUGGUCUGAGAGGACGAUCAGCCACACUGGGACUGAGACACGGCCCAGACUCCUACGGGAGGCAGCAGUGGGGAAUUUUGGACAAUGGGCGCAAGCCUGAUCCAGCAAUGCCGCGUGCAGGAUGAAGGCCUUCGGGUUGUAAACUGCUUUUGUACGGAACGAAAAGCCCUGGGUUAAUACCCUGGGGUCAUGACGGUACCGUAAGAAUAAGCACCGGCUAACUACGUGCCAGCAGCCGCCGUAAAAC